UAGGUGUGGUUAAUGAUUAUGGCCCAUCCUACAUUGUAGUGAAGAUGUGUGGCUUAUUCUUGGUAACAAAUUGACUCUGGCUGGGACUUAAAGUAUUAAAGGACCUUCUUUCUCGAUAUUUUUGGGCGACGGGCCGUCUUUCACUAUCAUUGGGGACUUGUUGUACUCAAUCCUGGCCUGUCCGAGGCUUACCUUAUCCAUUACAACUGUAGUUACCUAGGUGAUGGAUCAUCUUUUACCAAGAUAGGACAGCUUAUAUUCAUUAUACCUUUUUAAUUGUACAACAUUACUGUAUAUACUGAGAUAUUUAACUGUUGUUUAAUUACUGUGUAGUGUGUAGACUGUUUUACCUGUAUUUUAGUGUAGUAUCAAGUUUAUUAUAAC